AGGGGAGUAGCUCAACUGGUAGAGCGUCGGUCUCCAAAACCGGUGGCUGCGGGUUCAAGUCCUGCCUCCCCUA
rnacentral:tRNA from 1 species